CUGACUUCAGGUGAUCCACCUGCCUCAGCUGCCCAAAGUGCUGGGAUUAUAGGCCUGAGCCACCCUGCCUGGCCCUCUCCUCUGUUUCUUGACCUGGUUUUGUUUACAAUUUGUUGCUGCAAUCUUCCUAUAACUGUUUCCAGAGUUGUGUGACGAAAAGGGAGGCUGGCACGCAGAGAGAUUUCUCACACUCUGUUGGCUUGUGCAGUUGAGACAAAAUUAAGCAAUGUAGAAAUUUAAGCUUCAGUUUUUAAUGACCUAGGUUUUUCCAGGCCUUCCCAUUUUGGAGUAUCACAGUACUCAGGGAUUUCUGAGUUUUCUCUCCCUUCCAGAGGAACUAUUCUUGAAUGGGAUUAUUAAGCACCCCUUCCUCAAUUCUUCAACAAAGCUCCGAGGAAUGAAUGUCUCAAGUUCUGCUGCUUUUAAAGUAUAAAAGAUAAAUUCAAAGUUCCUUAUGCUUCUCCUUUCUGGGAGAAUUCUGGGUUUUACUCCAACAGUGGGAAAGUUUUCUAAGCUGGUUUUGCUCCUGUCUCAUGGGCAAGGCAGUUUGGUCGGUGGCUGUUCUGUGGGCUGCUGUCUGGAGGAGACGGUCGGUGGAGACGGUCGGUCGGGGAGGUCACCCUGACAAUUAUGGCCAACUGACGGUGGAGGGAGUGGUCUCGGUUUGGCCCUCAGUCUGGAGUCACAGUCUGGAUUCACAGGCAGCGCAGAGAGAUGUUGGCUCAGGACCUGAGGCUGAGGCGUGCUGGGACAGCCUAGGGGGUGUCCUGGCUUUCCAGGGGCUGGGGAACCCUCUCUGGCCCGGGGGCGGGAGAAGCUGUUCCAGAAUCGGUUCUGGCUCCACUGCCACCUCAGCACUUUCUAAUUGCAGCUCCAAACAGCCGCAGCUGCAGUCAUAGCAACAGGCCCCGCCCACCGGGCUUCGCUCCUGGCGUCCAGCACGUGACGGCGACGCCUGCGUCGCUCCCUCAGCCCCUGGCGCUAAGGGAGGCGGGGAAGUGUGGGGGGAUGACGUUUACUCUGUCGUCUCCAUGGAUAUAAUGCAUAGACGUCAACGUCGCCAGUGUUUGGUGUGUAACGUUCUUCCGUCUCCAUGGGAACGUCAGGCGGCCAAACACCGGGCCCCAGCAACAGGCUUCUGAUUGGCCCGAGGCUUCCAAAGGCGGAGCUUCGUCUCCCGCGCCCGCUCGACUGUGUUGCUGUUUUGGUUGUUGUCUCCCACUUGUUUAUUUCUCUAACAGAUCCUGGAGGCUGAGGUCUAGAUCGGUCGCCAAGGAUGGGAUCCAGGAGAAAACGUGCUGAACGUGCAGCUUGCUCCUACCGAUUACAGCCCAGCAGAUGACAUAGUUCCACUGUGCUCUAGUCCAUUGUGGGAAUUAUGGCCCUCAUGCCCGGCGUCUGUCACAACCCAAUAUUUGGUGUUAUAACCCCUGCUCCCACCCCCCAGCACAUCUCAGAAGUGCCGUUACCCUCUCAGUCACAUCCCAGAAACUGUGUUGCCUUCACGGUUACUCUUGUUUAUGCUUGAGAGCACUCGGAGGCCUUUCCAUAUCUAAAGCCUGCAUUCAGUGCUACCCCCUGCAGGAUUUGGAUACAUUUCCCCGUCUGGUCCUAAUUCUGUUGAAUGACAUCAUUUAUCCGUAUUCCCACCCAGAGAUGGGCAGAUUUCUUGUAACCUGAAUAGAUACCAAAGAAUCCCAAAGGACCUGGAAACAGAAAGAAAUUGAAGACAGAGAUGAACACAGAUCAAGAGCCCAGGUUUCUUGAUAUCUAAUACUAAUAUACUGAUGGAGUUAAACAUUCCAAGGAAUAUAGCAUGUCUUGGUCUCUGAGAGCCAAUAUAUCUGGGUUACACUGAAAGAGGAAUAACGAGAUAAUAUUUACACUGUACAUUGAAGAUGACCUGAAAAGCUGGAAGAGCUCAGACAGACAUCAGCUGGAUGAAGCCCCAGGUUCAAACAAACUUGCCUUGGAUAUCAAAGUACUAGUAGCAAAGGAACUCCCAAUUCCUCACCUGCUGUGAAGUUUCCCAUUCACUGCAAGCAAAGUCCAGGUGAAAGCAAAGAUUCUUCACCCGCAGAAACCCUCUGGGCAGGUAACUCAUGAUGUAUUCCCAGCCACCUGAUGAAUCUGGAGAAAGGAAUAGAAUGGUUCUGCCAAAUGAUUUAAAUGAAGAAUCCUGUGGGCCCAGCCCAGCCCUCUAUGCUAACCAAUCUGAAGCCGGCAGGUGUGUGGUGUUCUGUUUAUAGCUGCCAGAUCAGCUCCUGUUGUAGGUUCUAUAUGCUGGCCUCAGCUGAGCCUGUGGUAUGUGAGCACAGUUCUGUGCGAUCCAAACAAUUGACAAAUACUGACCUGGCCCCAGCCACGUGCCCAGUCAUUGCUGGGCUGCCCAAGAAACCAACUAAGCACAUUCUGGGGCAGGGGUGGGGGGCAUUCAAGAAAGAAAUCAGAAAGCUGUAUUCAUUAUUCUAUUGACUGAAGGCUUAGUAUUGUGUCAGGCACUGAUCUGGCAACGGGGAAACAGUAAUGUCUCUUUCCCUCAUGGAACUUAC
rnacentral:lncRNA from 1 species